rnacentral:rRNA from 1 species
UACGUAGGGUGCGAGCGUUGUCCGGAAUUAUUGGGCGUAAGGGCUCGUAGGCGGUUUGUCGCGUCGGGAGUGAAAUCCACUGGCUUAACUGGUGGCUUGCUUUCGAUACGGGCAGACUGGAGGUAUGCAGGGGAGAACGGAAUUCCUGGUGUAGCGGUGAAAUGCGCAGAUAUCAGGAGGAACACCGGUGGCGAAGGCGGUUCUCUGGGCAUGUCCUGACGUGAGGAGCGAAAGUGUGGGGAGCGAACAGG